rnacentral:tRNA from 2 species
GCGAGUGUGGCGGAACUGGUAGACGCGCUAGACUUAGGAUCUAGUGCCACAAGCGUGGGGGUUCAAGUCCCUCCACUCGCA